ensembl:lncRNA
ACACACACACACACACACACACACACACACACACACACACACACACACACACAGAGAGAGAGAGAGAGACACACACACACAGUCUAAUUACUCCAUGUGCUGAUUUCCUAAGUGGUUCCAUCCAGGUUUCUAGCUUCAAGCUCCUGGCAACCCUCGUCACAGAGGCCCUCAACCCUCAUCACAGAGGCCCUCACAUCACAGAGGCCCUCAACCCUCAUCACAGAGGCCCUCAACCAUCAUCACAGAGGCCCUCACACCUCAUCACAGAGGCCCUCAAACCUCAUCACAGAGGCCCCUCAACCCACAUCACAGAGGCCCUCAACCCUCAUCACAGAGGCCCCCACAUCACAGCGGACCUCAACCCACAUCACAGACAAUCUACCCUCAUCUCAGUGCCAC